rnacentral:lncRNA from 1 species
CAUCUUUGUCCAUAUAUAAUGUAUAUACUGGUCACUUCCGGAAAAUUACUCUAAAUGUUUCCCAUUGGAGUAGUCUGGACUCGGUACAGGUACUUAGCAAACAGAUGUGAGACAGACUAUAAGUCGCGCCAAUUCCAUCUCCUAGUAUCAAAUUUUCCUUAUCAUUUUGUAAAGUAUCAUAACCUAUUUUUUUCAAUAAAAGAGAAACCAAAC